UACGUAGGGCGCAAGCGUUAUCCGGAAUUAUUGGGCGUAAAGAGCUCGUAGGCGGUUUGUCGCGUCGGCUGUGAAAACUCGAGGCUUAACCUCGAGAUGUCAUCGGAAACCAUCUGGCUAGAGUCCGGAAGAGGAGAGUGGAAUUCCUGGUGUAGUGGUGAAAUGCGUAGAGAUCGGCAGGAACACCCAGGGGGAAACCAGCCAACUGGGCAUCUACUGACGCUGAGGUGCGAGAGCGUGGGGAGCGAACCGG
rnacentral:rRNA from 1 species